rnacentral:rRNA from 1 species
UACGUAGGGGGCAAGCGUUGUCCGGAUUCAUUGGGCGUAAAGAGCGUGUAGGCGGCCAGGUAGGUCGGUUGUGAAAACUGGAGGCUCAACCUUCAGAGGUCGACCGAAACCAUCUGGCUAGAGUCCGGGAGAGGAGAGUGGAAUUCCUGGUGUAGCGGUGAAAUGCGCAGAUAUCAGGAAGUACACCCGUGGCGAAAGCGGCUCUCUGGAACGGUACUGACGCUGAGACGCGAAAGCGUGGGGAGCGAACAGG